rnacentral:rRNA from 1 species
UGGGGAAUUUUGGACAAUGGGGGAAACCCUGAUCCAGCCAUCCCGCGUGUGCGAUGAAGGCCUUCGGGUUGUAAAGCACUUUUGGCAGGAAAGAAACGUCAUGGGUUAAUACCCCGUGAAACUGACGGUACCUGCAGAAUAAGCACCGGCUAACUACGUGCCAGCAACCGCGGUAAUACGUAGGGUGCAAGCGUUAAUCGGAAUUACUGGGCGUAAAGCGUGCGCAGGCGGUUCGGAAAGAAAGAUGUGAAAUCCCAGAGCUCAACUUUGGAACUGCAUUUUUAACUACCGGGCUAGAGUGUGUCAGAGGGAGGUGGAAUUCCGCGUGUAGCAGUGAAAUGCGUAGAUAUGCGGAGGAACACCGAUGGCGAAGGCAGCCUCCUGGGAUAACACUGACGCUCAUGCACGAAAGCGUGGGGAGCAAACAGG